AGCGAACGCUGGCGGCAGGCUUAACACAUGCAAGUCGAGCGGGCACUUCGGUGUCAGCGGCAGACGGGUGAGUAACACGUGGGAACGUACCCUUCGGUUCGGAAUAACGCUGGGAAACUAGCGCUAAUACCGGAUACGCCCUUUUGGGGAAAGGUUUACUGCCGAAGAAUCGGCCCGCGUCUGAUUAGCUAGUUGGUGGGGUAAUGGCCUACCAAGGCGACGAUCAGUAGCUGGUCUGAGAGGAUGAUCAGCCACACUGGGACUGAGACACGGCCCAGACUCCUACGGGAGGCAGCAGUGGGGAAUAUUGGACAAUGGGCGCAAGCCUGAUCCAGCCAUGCCGCGUGAGUGAUGAAGGCCUUAGGGUUGUAAAGCUCUUUUGUCCGGGACGAUAAUGACGGUACCGGAAGAAUAAGCCCCGGCUAACUUCGUG
rnacentral:rRNA from 1 species